GAACCUUCGGGGAACGAUAACGGCGUCGAGCGGCGGACGGGUGAGUAAUGCCUAGGAAAUUGCCCUGAUGUGGGGGAUAACCAUUGGAAACGAUGGCUAAUACCGCAUGAUGCCUACGGGCCAAAGAGGGGGACCUUCGGGCCUCUCGCGUCAGGAUAUGCCUAGGUGGGAUUAGCUAGUUGGUGAGGUAAGGGCUCACCAAGGCGACGAUCCCUAGCUGGUCUGAGAGGAUGAUCAGCCACACUGGAACUGAGACACGGUCCAGACUCCUACGGGAGGCAGCAGUGGGGAAUAUUGCACAAUGGGCGCAAGCCUGAUGCAGCCAUGCCGCGUGUAUGAAGAAGGCCUUCGGGUUGUAAAGUACUUUCAGUCGUGAGGAAGGCGGCGUCGUUAAUAGCGGCGUUGUUUGACGUUAGCGACAGAAGAAGCACCGGCUAACUCCGUGCCAGCAGCCGCGGUAAUACGGAGGGUGCGAGCG
rnacentral:rRNA from 1 species